rnacentral:rRNA from 1 species
AAUCGGUGUAAUGAUAGCGGCGAACGGGUGAGUAACACGUUGGAACCUGCCCCCAAGUCAGGGAUAGCCAAGGGAAACCUUGGAUAAUACCGGAUAGUCUCUUAGGAGUAAAAAUUUAUUGCUUGGGGAGGGGCCUGCGGACUAUCAGCUAGUUGGUAAGGUAAGAGCUUACCAAGGCUAUGACGGAUAACUGGUCUGAGAGGAUGAUCAGUCACAAUGGAACUGAGACACGGUCCAU